UACGAAGGGGGCUAGCGUUGCUCGGAAUUACUGGGCGUAAAGCGCACGUAGGCGGUCUUUUAAGUCGGGGGUGAAAUCCUGGAGCUCAACUCCAGAACUGCCUUCGAUACUGGAAGACUCGAGUCCGGGAGAGGUGAGUGGAACUGCGAGUGUAGAGGUGAAAUUCGUAGAUAUUCGCAAGAACACCAGUGGCGAAGGCGGCUCACUGGCCCGGAACUGACGCUGAGACGCGAAAGCGUGGGGAGCAAACAGGG
rnacentral:rRNA from 1 species